rnacentral:rRNA from 1 species
AACGGCCAUACAAUGUUGAAUAUACCGGUAUUUCGUUAGAUCACCGAAGUCAAGCAUCAUUGGGCGCGGUCAGUACUUGGGUGGGUGACCACCUGGGAACACCGCGUGCCGUU